rnacentral:rRNA from 1 species
GACGAACGCUGGCGGCGUGCUUAACACAUGCAAGUCGAACGGAAAGGCCCUGCUUUUGUGGGGUGCUCGAGUGGCGAACGGGUGAGUAACACGUGAGUAACCUGCCCUUGACUUUGGGAUAACUUCAGGAAACUGGGGCUAAUACCGGAUAGGAGCCCCUGCUGCAUGGUGGGGGGUGGAAAGUUUCGGCGGUUGGGGAUGGACUCGCGGCUUAUCAGCUUGUUGGUGGGGUAGUGGCUUACCAAGGCUUUGACGGGUAGCCGGCCUGAGAGGGUGACCGGCCACAUUGGGACUGAGGUACGGCCCAGACUCCUACGGGAGGCAGCAGGGGGGAAUAUUGCACAGUGGGCGGAAGCCUGAUGCAGCAACGCCGCGUGCGGGAUGACGGCCUUCGGGUUGUAAACCGCUUUCGCCUGUGACGAAGCGUGAGUGACGGUAAUGGGUAAAGAAGCACCGGCUAACUACGUG